GACGAACGCUGGCGGCGUGCUUAACACAUGCAAGUCGAACGGAAAGGCCCUGCUUUUGUGGGGUGCUCGAGUGGCGAACGGGUGAGUAACACGUGAGUAACCUGCCCUUGACUUUGGGAUAACUUCAGGAAACUGGGGCUAAUACCGGAUAGGAGCUCCUGCUGCAUGGUGGGGGUUGGAAAGUUUCGGCGGUUGGGGAUGGACUCGCGGCUUAUCAGCUUGUUGGUGGGGUAGUGGCUUACCAAGGCUUUGACGGGUAGCCGGCCUGAGAGGGUGACCGGCCACAUUGGGACUGAGAUACGGCCCAGACGCCUACGGGAGGCAGCAGUGGGGAAUAUUGCACAAUGGGCGGAAGCCUGAUGCAGCAACGCCGCGUGCGGGAUGACGGCCUUCGGGUUGUAAACCGCUUUCGCCUGUGACGAAGCGUGAGUGACGGUAAUGGGUAAAGAAGCACCGGCUAACUACAUG
rnacentral:rRNA from 1 species